rnacentral:rRNA from 1 species
CGAAAGCCUGACGGAGCAACGCCGCGUGGGGGAAGAAGGUUCUUGGAUUGUAAACCCCUUUUCUCAGGGAAGAAGUUCUGACGGUACCUGAGGAAUCAGCCUCGGCUAACUCCGUGCCAGCAGCCGCGGUAAUACGGAGGAGGCAAGCGUUAUCCGGAAUCAUUGGGCGUAAAGCGUUCGUAGGCGGCUGUUCAAGUCUGCUGUCAAAGGUCGGAGCUCAACUCCGGUUCGGCAGUGGAAACUGGUGGGCUAGAGGGCGACAGGGGUAGAGGGAAUUCCCAGUGUAGCGGUGAAAUGCGUAGAGAUUGGGAAGAACACCGGUGGCGAAAGCGCUCUACUGGGUCGCACCUGACCCUCAGGGACGAAAGCUAAGGUAGCG